ensembl:miRNA
UUCGGAUGUAGCUCUGCCGCUGCUCUAGGUGACUCAGCACAGCGUGGAGGGCUGUGGCGAUGG